rnacentral:rRNA from 1 species
ACGUUACCAAACUGUUGCCUCGGCGGGAUCUUCUGCCCCGGGUGCGUCGCAGCCCCGGACCAAGGCGCCCGCCGGAGGAAUCAACCAAAACUCUUAUUGUAUACCCCCUCGCGGGUUUUUUUUUAUAAUCUGAGCCUUCUCGGCGCCUCUCGUAGGCGUUUCGAAAAUGAAUCAAAACUUUCAACAACGGAUCUCUUGGUUCUGGCAUCGAUGAAGAACGCAGCGAAAUGCGAUAAGUAAUGUGAAUUGCAGAAUUCAGUGAAUCAUCGAAUCUUUGAACGCACAUUGCGCCCGCCAGUAUUCUGGCGGGCAUGCCUGUCCGAGCGUCAUUUCAACCCUCGAACCCCUCCGGGGGGUCGGCGUUGGGGAUCGGCCUUCCUUCACGGGGGCCGUCUCCGAAAUACAGUGGCGGUCUCGCCGCAGCCUCUCCUGCGCAGUAGUUUGCACACUCGCAUCGGGAGCGCGGCGCGUCCACAGCCGUUAAACACCCAACUUUCUGAAAUGUUGACCUCGGAUCAGGUAGGAAUACCC